AAGACUACGAACAUUUCCAAUAUAUUCAUGUCCUUCUUUCCAGAUGAAAUUUAUAUUGGCAAAUUUACCUUUUCCUGGAGGUGGUGAAUCCUUCCGUCUUAUGGCUACUUUUGAACUGGGAUCUGCUUCUUUUGGGGGGUUCCCACUUCUGGAUCCCUCUUCUGGAGAUCCAUGGCAAUCUCCACUCUACAUCUUCAGCCUAGGAAAGCCCAGAUUCCUCAAAAGACCAGCUAUAAUAAUUGAGAGUAGGAGCUCUCUAUUCCUCUGCUUCUGGAAAGGGCUCCCACUUCUGGAUCCCUCUUCUGCAGCAAUCCAUGGCAAUCUCCACUCUAUAUCUUCAGCCUAGGAAAGCCCAGAUUCCUCAAAAGACCAGCUAUAAUAAUUGAGAGUAGGAGCUCUCUAUUCCUCUGCUUCUGGAAAGGGCUCCCACUUCUGGAUCCCUCUUCUGCAGAGAUCCAUGGCAAUCUCCAAUCUACAUCUUCAGCCUAGGAAAGCCCAGAUUCCUCAAAAGACCAGCUAUAAUAAUUGAGAGUAGGAGCUCUCUAUUCCUCUGCUUCUGGAAAGUAAGUCAGUCUCAGUCAUCCACCCCAAGCAUACGCAUGUUAUUGACUACCCACCUGAAGCUUCAUUGCUGAUUUGCCAGCCAAUCCUACAUUUGACCUACCCUACUUGUAUGUGAGAGAACUGAGAAAAGAGGCAGAAAAAAGGAGACAUCCACCCUGGCUCACAGAUCUAUGUACUUAAGCAAUCUCCCUAGUUCUUGAGGGGUUCUAAGCCCUCUGUAAGCUGGGAUGGAAGAAGAUGAUACCACAUUCCUAUCUGCUCCAGAGACUCUUUCCUGUGGCUCAAAUCCUUUUAAUACUUUUCAAUAAAAACCUUGAAAUCUGUCA